GUGCAAGCGUUAAUCGGAAUUACUGGGCGUAAAGCGUGCGCAGGCGGUUUUUUAAGUCUGCUGUGAAAUCCCCGAGCUCAACUUGGGAAUUGCAGUGGAUACUGGCAGGCUGGAGUAUGGUAGAGGAAGGUGGAAUUCCCGGUGUAGCAGUGAAAUGCGUAGAGAUCGGGAGGAACACCAGUGGCGAAGGCGGCCUUCUGGACCAAUACUGACGCUCAUGCACGAAAGCGUGGGGAGCAAACAGG
rnacentral:rRNA from 1 species